GCGGAUAUGGCGGAAUUGGCAGACGCGCUAGAUUCAGGUUCUAGUCGGAGUGAUUCGGUACAGGUUCAAGUCCUGCUAUCCGCACCA
rnacentral:tRNA from 1 species